rnacentral:rRNA from 1 species
UACGGAGGGGGCUAGCGUUGUUCGGAAUUACUGGGCGUAAAGCGCACGUAGGCGGCUUUGUAAGUUAGAGGUGAAAGCCCAGGGCUUAACCCUGGAAUUGCCUUUAAGACUGCAUCGCUAGAAUCGUGGAGAGGUAAGUGGAAUUCCGAGUGUAGAGGUGAAAUUCGUAGAUAUUCGGAAGAACACCAGUGGCGAAGGCGGCUCACUGGACUGGUAUUGACGCUGAUGUGCGAAAGCGUGGGGAGCAAACAGG